AUUGAACGCUGGCGGCAUGCUUUACACAUGCAAGUCGAACGGUAACAGGCCGCAAGGUGCUGACGAGCGGCGAACGGGUGAGUAAUGCAUCGGAACGUGCCCAGUCGUGGGGGAUAACUACUCGAAAGAGUAGCUAAUACCGCAUACGAUCUAUGGAUGAAAGCGGGGGACCGUAAGGCCUCGCGCGAUUGGAGCGGCCGAUGUCAGAUUAGGUAGUUGGUGGGGUAAAGGCUCACCAAGCCAACGAUCUGUAGCUGGUCUGAGAGGACAACCAGCCACACUGGGACUGAGACACGGCCCAGACUCCUACGGGAGGCAGCAGUGGGGAAUUUUGGACAAUGGGCGCAAGCCUGAUCCAGCAAUGCCGCGUGCAGGAAGAAGGCCUUCGGGUUGUAAACUGCUUUUGUACGGAACGAAACGGCUCUGGUUAAUACCCGGGGCUAAUGACGGUACCGUAAGAAUAAGCACCGGCUAACUACGUG
rnacentral:rRNA from 1 species